GUGUUCUGUGAAAGGAGAUAAGUUUAGUAUUCCUAUUGAUAAGGAUGCAAUAGGAUCUAUCGACAGAUAUGCAGAUAUGAUUAAAGUAUUGUCAGUCUUUGU
ensembl:snRNA